rnacentral:rRNA from 1 species
UACACAUGCAGUCGAGCGGAUGACGGGAGCUUGCUCCUUGAUUCAGCGGCGGACGGGUGAGUAAUGCCUAGGAAUCUGCCUGGUAGUGGGGGACAACGUUUCGAAAGGAACGCUAAUACCGCAUACGUCCUACGGGAGAAAGCAGGGGACCUUCGGGCCUUGCGCUAUCAGAUGAGCCUAGGUCGGAUUAGCUAGUUGGUGGGGUAAUGGCUCACCAAGGCGACGAUCCGUAACUGGUCUGAGAGGAUGAUCAGUCACACUGGAACUGAGACACGGUCCAGACUCCUACGGGAGGCAGCAGUGGGGAAUAUUGGACAAUGGGCGAAAGCCUGAUCCAGCCAUGCCGCGUGUGUGAAGAAGGUCUUCGGAUUGUAAAGCACUUUAAGUUGGGAGGAAGGGCAGUAAGUUAAUACCUUGCUGUUUUGACGUUACCGACAGAAUAAGCACCGGCUAACUCUGUGCCAGCAGCCGCGGUAAUACAGAGGGUGCAAGCGUUAAUCGGAAUUACUGGGCGUAAAGCGCGCGUAGGUGGUUCGUUAAGUUGGAUGUGAAAGCCCCGGGCUCAACCUGGGAACUGCAUCCAAAACUGGCGAGCUAGAGUACGGUAGAGGGUGGGUGGAAUUUCCUGUGUAGCGGUGAAAUGCGUAAU